ACGCUCGACACCUACGGGAGGCAGCAGUGGGGAAUAUUGCAUAAUGGGGGAAACCCUGAUGCAGCGACGCCGCGUGAGUGAAGAAGUAUUUCGGUAUGUAAAGCUCUAUCAGCAGGGAAGAAGAUGACGGUACCUGAGUAAGAAGCCCCGGCUAACUACGUACCAGCAGCCGCGGUAAUCUGAGCGGGCUGGCAAGGC
rnacentral:rRNA from 1 species